UUGCAUCAUAUUUGUUCCGUUAAUGAGGCGCUGUCUGAUCUGGAAACGCAAAAACAGGAUGACAAUUCAGAUUACCUUGGUGACAGCCAAUAGUAAUUGACGGAUUAUGGAACAAGAAGUUUUGGCCCAACAUCACAGGGCUGGAUGGAUGGAUAGCUCAGACCUGGCUAGACGUAGUGACAGACAACCUUGGGGAGAAGAAGCAUGGUGUGGAGUCAGCUGUACGAGGUGGCAACAUGCAUCUCUGUGUGCCUGACAGACAUAUCAGCUUGGAUGUCAUCCCACCACCUCAAGCUCAACCUCGACAAGACAGAGCUGCUCUUCCUCCCAGUCAAAGCCCGCCCACUCCAAGACCUCUCCAUCACAGUUGACAACUCCAUGCUGUCCCUCUCCCAGAGUUCAAAAAGCCUUGGUGAGACCCCUGCAAACAUCAAAACAGUGACCCACUCCUGCAGGGUCAGGCUCUACAACAGCUAUUCUCAAACUGGGGUACACGCAAGGCCGUCAGGUGUACGCCAAAUAAAAAAAUAAAAAAUCACAUUU